UACGAAGGGGGCUAGCGUUGUUCGGAAUCACUGGGCGUAAAGGGCGCGUAGGCGGCUUGAUAAGUCGGGGGGUGAAAGCCUGUGGCUCAACCACAGAAUUGCCUUCGAUACUGUCGAGCUUGAGACCGGAAGAGGUAAGUGGAACUGCGAGUGUAGAGGUGAAAUUCGUAGAUAUUCGCAAGAACACCAGUGGCGAAGGCGGCUUACUGGUCCGGGUUCUGGACGCUGAGGCGCGAAAAGCGUGGGGGAGCAAACAGGG
rnacentral:rRNA from 1 species